GGUCGUUUCCUUCCUAACGAAGGCAGCUCCGCAUUGGGUCGCACGCGUCUUCCUCUCCCCCACACGUCUCCGGCCACAGCCGCCUCCUCCUCUCCCCGCUUGUCUUUCCCUCUAGCUCAAGAAGCUCCACGGGACACCACUCUUCCUCUUCUCCGUAUUGAUGCUGAGCAAGAAGAUGGGGCGGAUUUGGGCGACGGCUCCAGUGCCACCUCCCUGCAACGAGGGAUCUCACCGGCGUGGGGGCGGGAGUGGAUGCCAGUGAGGGUGGCGGAUCGGCGUUGCUCGCUCCCCACCGGCCUUCUUCGUCUCCCGACAACAUAUGGCUCCAACCCUUCCUCUGCUGUGUGGUGUCGUGGGAGCAAGAAACAAGAGCAGGCAUGGUUUUUAUCUACAUCCAGUGUUCACACUGCCAGAUCGACGGAUCUAACUCUGGUCGGCAAGGAGGGGCACCGCCGCGGCGGCGAGGAAGCGGCCGGGGGCAAGGCCGAGGGCGGCAAAGCCAACCUGAGUAAGGUGCUGCCGGCUACCUUAUAGAAAAUCACAGGUUAGAUUUAUAAUCGAUGCAAGUUUCUUUCAGUAAACCAUGCCCUCAGUGCUGUACCAUUUAGGCUGUACAUAAUAUUCUGGCAGUUGUGCUGCCAUUUUACUGUCACUUUCUCAGUUUCCAUGAUAUCAGCACGCUGGUAACCGUGGAGCAUCCUUGCACACUUUGGUCGUUUUUUCUUUCUAUACUUUCAGUUUUCCAUGGAUAUAGUUGCGACAGAUUCUAGAUAUUGACAAUUUGACAUUCUAAUAUUCUGUUGGUCAGCGCUAAAAUGCAGAAGUAAUUCUAUUUAACCACAUAAUAUACUAGCAUUGGUUUGUAUGUGGCUGAUCCAGUGCCAGCAACAACUCGAGUUGUUAAAUUGUAAUGGAUUGUUCUAAUUUUACAGCUUUAUGUACAAACUGUGGUUCAUGAUUGUUUGUAGGAGGAACAGUUUCAUGCUAUGCUGUUCUCACCAUAGGGUUGUUUUCAUAUCUCUACAAUUAAUGAAUAUGUUUUAUUAAAAAAAUGUGAAGAAUUGUUAUUUCUAUAACAGGAAAACUUCACUACUGACCCUUUGGUUCUAGGCUUCUAGCAGCGUCAGGUGUUGAUUAUCAACACUUGUUAGAUGUUGUCUGAUUGGCACAAGGGGUCCCCUAUGGAAACACCAAAGUCUACCCAUACUAGUGAUGAUUUCACACACAAGGCAGAAUCAGAUGUAAUAUAGUACUUUUUAAUCGAGUAUUCCAUUUUGAGUUUUGAGAUUCCAUUAUGUUCGAAGUUUUACUCAUUUCUUUGCCUGCAGAUGACACAUGUUGCACUGGCUUUUGAAGUGCCAGGAAGCUGGCUUGAAUCAUGACUGUCAUGCAGGUACAUCUAAGGGUUGGGUAUUCGAUAGUAAUUAAUGAUAAGUUAGUAUACAAAAUAAAAGAAAAUAAAUUACUUACUGCAGAGCCAUUCAGUUAUAUAUGCCAACUCUGAAGGAUAAUUCCUAAAAAAAUUAGGCGUUCUUUGUUUCCUCACAAUUUUUUUCAGAAAUGUCGCAUGGUUAUUUGCUAUUGAACUUCCUCUCUGACUGUUGGAUUAUCAGCCCUUUUUUGAUGGAUAGGUGCUACUGACCAGCUACCAUGGAUGGAAGAAACCUCAUCAAAAACUAAUACAUAUGUUACUGAUUCCGAGCCUUCAAAGUUUUCUUUUGCAGUAGCAUUUAUUUUGCACGGUUCAUCUUCCAUGCAAAGAGAAGUCCUAGAACUUUUAGGUGCUGGUAUGGCAGUUGCAGCCGUUUGGGAAUUGCUCCUAGCUGUAAAUUUUCUAUUAUGAUUAACCUGAGAGCAAUCCUGACUAACAUCAGCAUCCUCAGUGUUACCAUAGUCCUUGCAAUGAACAGAGAGAUAUUCAUGGAUGGAGCUGGUAAGGCCACUCAUUUCCAUGGCAGCUAGGAACAAGAAACAGAAGUAUGAGAAAGUCAGUGAAAGGAAAAUUGUUGUUCUUUUCUAUAUCCUGCAUUCGCCACCAUUGGAACAAUGUGUUAUUAAUUGUAUUCUCUUAGCUAUAGGCUCUCUGUCGUGGAUAUCCUACUGAAUUUGCAUCUUAUUUCCAUUACUGCCGCUCACUACGCUUUGGACUACCAGUAUCUCAAGAAAUUGUCUACAGACUUUUUUAUUGGACAUGGCGAGUUUUCCUUUUGCAUGUCGUGAACUUAUAAUCGUCCAUUUAAUUUAGUGGUUAAUGAUUAAUCAAUAUUUAGACACCUAAAUGCUGCAAAUGUUGCACACAUGAAAAUUUAUGUCCUACUGUUUGCUCUUAUCCAUUUAUUUUAGGCCCUGGCAGCAGGACGAGGCUCUAGGAUGGUUCCCAUGGAAAACAGACAGUCAGAUUCACAGUGAAGAUGUGUUGCAUGCCCACAACUGAAUACUCACAGUGAAGAUGUGUCACUCAUUGAGAAGCCGAACGGUACCACCAAAAUAUAAAGUGAAGAGACCCACUUAUCCAGAACAAGGUAGAUCAUCAUGCUGUCAUACCAUACAUCAAAUGGUAUGCCGCAAAUACAAUCGCCAAUCUUAGAAAACUCAACGAACGGUAAGGAGAUUGGCUUGUAUGGACUCACCAUUCGCCCUCUCAGUACACAAUCACCAAUCUAAGUUGUUCGAAUAAGAACUACUUAGUUUCCAUGUUCUGUUAUAAUGGUCCCUGUUUUUUUAUUUCCAAAUCUGCAGAUUUUAAUUAUGAAUCUAAUUCAGAUUUGUUCCAUGUUUUUUUGCUUGCAGUAAAAAUCUUACUAGAGGCAACUGGAUAUAGGAAACAAAGUGAACUACCAGUUUUCUGUUGAACAAUCACUACUCUGGUUUUAUUGUGACGUGUACCUAAAUUUAUUCUUAGAGAAAACUUGACAUGCAGACUGCAUGUUCUUAUGUAUUGUUUCAGUAACAAUGAUUGCAUAGUAAUUCAGUUAUAACUAUGUAACAGAAGAUGGCAGGAACAAUGGUACAAAUUCAAGUAUGUACAUGCCAAAGUUGAUAGGUUUAACUCUAGGCAUUGCAUUACUAUGUCAUGUUGUACUAUUCUUUAAAGAAUUUGUAGGGGGUACUAGAAAAUAUGACUCGAUGAGGGAUGCAUUGAUUUAAAAAAACGGCCUGAAAGUAUUGAGUUUA